GACGUAGGGCGCGAGCGUUGUCCGGAUCUAUUGGGCGUAAAGAGCUCGUAGGCGGCUUGUUGCGUCGACUGUGAAAACCCGCGGCUUAACUGCGGGCUUGCAGUUGAUACGGGCAGGCUAGAGUUCGGUAGGGGAGACUGGAAUUCCUGGUGUAGCGGUGAAAUGCGCAGAUAUCAGGAGGAACACCGGUGGCGAAGGCGGGUCUCUGGGCCGAUACUGACGCUGAGGAGCGAAAGCGUGGGGAGCGAACAGG
rnacentral:rRNA from 1 species